UACGUAGGGCGCAAGCGUUAUCCGGAAUUAUUGGGCGUAAAGAGCUCGUAGGCGGUUUUGUCGCGUCUGCCGUGAAAGUCCGGGGCUCAACUCCGGAUCUGCGGUGGGUACGGGCAGACUAGAGUGAUGUAGGGGAGACUGGAAUUCCUGGUGUAGCGGUGAAAUGCGCAGAUAUCAGGAGGAACACCGAUGGCGAAGGCAGGUCUCUGGGCAUUAACUGACGCUGAGGAGCGGAAAGCAUGGGGAGCGAAACAGG
rnacentral:rRNA from 1 species